AAGGUUUCUACAAGUGUCAGUACUCAGGAAGAGAGUCAGCACAGAGCUGGAUGUCAGUUAAAGUGACUGUGUCCACACCUGAGAGCUCUUCAUUUCCUCUUCUGAUGAUCUUUAGAUUAAUUCUUGGAUUCUUGUUUAUUUUCCUUCCAUUCUUGUUGUUUAGCUUCAGAUGUUCCAAAGGUGAUCGUUGUGUCUAUGAGACAGUCAGAAGAUGUGAAAACACUGAAAAUGGUAAAGUUUACACUUUCAUUAAUAUAGAGCUUGUGGAAGCUGGAUGAUUAUACAAUAACUGUGUUUAACAUUAAAGUCAAUCAGAUUAUUAUUUCAGGUCCAGCAGAAGGUGAUUACACCAAUGUGACAUCUGUGAUUCAGCUCAAAGUCAUUAACAAGACAAGUGAGAUUUGAUGUGAGAUUUGAAAUGCAAAACAUACAUUGGUAAUUAUUCUCAAUGAUAAUAAAUGCAUUUGUGGACAAAACAGAGGGAGUUUGUUUUGAAAUGCUUUCAUUUGAUCACCUCAGCAGGGCAACGUGGUGACCCAGAGGAGAGCUCUGACUACAAUGAUGUCAAUGCAAAUUUAGCCACAGCUCUAAAAUCUUAACAGCAGCUCUUUAGCUGUUUUUCUCUUUUAAGUCUCUUAAAAAUUUGAAGUGACUUUGAGUGAAAAGGAGAAUAUUUUGAAUUCAAAGCAAUGAUCCUGAUAGCCUGAGUUUAUAUUUCUUUCUGAAAGAAUGACUCAGUGUGUUUCACUUGUUUCUCUCCCAUUAGAUAAUAAUUUUAAUGGACAUUAAUGUAGAUCAGUUUUUAUCUUUUUAACUAUUUCUUUCCUUUUGAAUAUAUUAUAAAGUCUUUCUGUGAAGAACUUUGUAACUUUGUUAAUAAAAGUGUGACAUAAAUAAA